rnacentral:rRNA from 1 species
CUGGCCGUAAACGAUGGAUACUAGGUGUUAGAGGUAUCGACCCCUCUAGUGCCGCAGCUAACGCAUUAAGUAUCCCGCCUGGGGAGUACGACCGCAAGGUUGAAACUCAAAGGAAUUGACGGGGGCCCGCACAAGCGGUGGAGCAUGUGGUUUAAUACGUCACUAACCGUAGAACCUUACCCAGGCUUGACAUCUGGUGUAAGUGCGUGAAAGCGUUACCCCGCUAUAGCAAUAUAGCGCACCAAGACAGGUGU